AAGGAGCUCGUGGAUGCUCAACACUUUAGGGAAAAAGGGCUGGAAGCGCUAAGGAAAUUCUUUCUGCUGGACAAUAGGGAGCUCAAGCCUUGCAGGCCCUGCAUGGUGGUAUUGUCAAAAGAGUACCUACAUCACAGCCACACACAUAUCUAGUACCUUCAAAGCAGACAGGAAUGAAGGUAAGGAAGGAAACAAGGAAGCAAGCAAGGAGGAAAAGCAAGGAAGCAAGCAAACAGGGGUGAAGACCUUGUUCAAGACUCCCAGUUCCGAGAGAUUCUCUCUGGGGAAACUUCUGGAGUCAGAAGCUUUACACAGGUUCCCUCAAAAGAAAU